rnacentral:misc_RNA from 2 species
AACGCACCUUGCGCCCCUUGGUAUUCCGAGGGGCACACCCGUUUGAGUGUCGUGAAAACCUCAACCUCCUUGGUUUCUUCUGGAGACCAAAGGAGGCUUGGACUUUGGAGGCCUUUGCUGGCGUCUCUCUUUUGAAGGCCAGCUCCUCUCAAACAAAUUAGCGGGGUCCUCUUUGCCGAUCCUCGACAUGUGAUAAGAUGUUUCCGUGUCUUGGUUUCUGGCUCUGUUGCUUUUGGGAUCCGCUUCAAACCGUCUCGAGCUUGCAUCGAGACAAUGUUCGAGCUUGUCUCCCUUCUCGGGAAACUCUCUCGACCCCACGAACCCUUGGCCUCAAAUCGGGUGAGACUACCCGCUGAACUUAA